rnacentral:rRNA from 1 species
AGUGAACGCUGGCGGUAGGCCUAACACAUGCAAGUCGAACGGCAGCACAGUAAGAGCUUGCUCUUACGGGUGGCGAGUGGCGGACGGGUGAGGAAUACAUCGGAAUCUACUUUCUCGUGGGGGAUAACGUAGGGAAACUUACGCUAAUACCGCAUACGACCUACGGGUGAAAGCAUGGGAUCUUCGGACCUUGCGCGAUUGAAUGAGCCGAUGUCGGAUUAGCUAGUUGGCGGGGUAAAGGCCCACCAAGGCGACGAUCCGUAGCUGGUCUGAGAGGAUGAUCAGCCACACUGGAACUGAGACACGGUCCAGACUCCUACGGGAGGCAGCAGUGGGGAAUAUUGGACAAAGGGCGCAAGCCUGAUCCAGCCAUACCGCGUGGGUGAAGAAGGCCUUCGGGUUGUAAAGCCCUUUUGUUGGGAAAGAAAAGCAGCAGGUUAAUACCCCGCUGUUCUGACGGUACCCAAAGAAUAAGCACCGGCUAACUUCGUG